rnacentral:rRNA from 1 species
UGCCUUUCGACUUUACUAUGGAAGGUUCAUCCUGCCCAAUGACUCUUAGUUCAAUGGCCGCGGUAUCUUGACCGUGCAAAGGUAGCAUAAUCACUUGCCCCUUAAUUAGGGGCUGGCAUGAAAGGACACACGAAAGCUUCCCUGUCUCACAAUAAUAAAUAAAAAUUAAUCUUUAAGUGAAAAAGCUUAAAUAAAAUUGCAGGACAAGAAGACCCCGUUGAGCUUUAUUCUCUAUAGACCAAUCUAAAUAUUUAUUAUAUCAUAAACCUAAAAAAGAAUUUAGUUGGGGUGACUAAGGAACAUCAUAAACUUCCUCUAUCUAUUUAGGGCUAUUCCCCAAAAAAAUUGACCCACAAACCGUGAUCAAAAAAAUAAGCUACCACAGGGAUAACAGGCUAAUCUUUCUUAAGAGCCCAAAUUGUCAGAAAGGAUUGGCACCUCGAUGUUGGCUUAGGGGCCCCUAAUGGUGCAGAAGCCAUAAAAGGUAGGUUUGUUCAACCUUUAAAACCCU